rnacentral:lncRNA from 1 species
AUGGAUGUGAAGAUUGAUCAUUUCACGUUCGUCUGUGUGCGAGAAGUGCUCCUUCUGCUCCUGAAGUAUCUGGUUGGGAUUCCAUUUCUUUGUUGGAGAACCAAACCCAUCCACAAGGGUCAGGGCAGAGCCAAGAGGAGGAGGAAAGGCGGGCCACUGAAAGGUAAGGUUCUGCCUAUCCCACCUGAGCUCUCCAAGGGUGACCCUUGCUGUCCUUUUGGUAAGGGCCAGGUCCAUGAUCUGAGGAUGUUGGCUGAUAGUCCCCUCAGAAACAGAGGGCUGAGAGCACUCAGAGCCCGAGACCCUUAG